AAAAAUACUUCUCAGUAAUGGUUCAAAAGGUUCGAUGCCGGGAAUUCUUUGUGUUUGUGUGUUUUUUCUUGGGACAUUAAGCAAAAUAAUAACAAGGGCUUGGUGGCGCAACCCAUUUCCGUACUUCAAAGGGGACGGCCAUAGCAUCCAUCCAUGGAUCUAUAAACGGUGCCUAUGGCAGCGGCGGACGGCGUCGGCCGUGCGGUGGAAAGCGUGUAGUUUGCUAUCGCUAUGGUGAAAAGAACAAACAAUGCGGGACAAAUAUAAGAACCAAUAAGAACUAGAAAGCUCGCACCCAGAGACGCGUCCUUGAAAGAGGAGUGCAUUGCUUUCGUUGCUCCAUGAGGCCGCUAAUUCUCAGUGCGGAGAGAAUUAGGCGCGUGCGAUGGAUGCGGUGGGGUCUGCUAGUGAGGAGGGCUCUUCGGACGGUGCCACUGGGGCAUCUACAUCGACUGGAGCUCGACCUCGAGGGAGGCCACGGAACACGGAGCAACAGAACGCCGCGGCCAAAGCCAGACAUGCUGAGGCCAUGCGGAGAAAGCGGCGGGAGGAUGCCGAGUUGCGGGCUCGUGAGGUUGAAGCGAGGCGGCGCAAACGUGCUGCGAACCCGGCACUUAAUGCAAAAGAAGCGGAGCGAAUACGGCGUAAACGUGAGGAUCCGCAAAAGCGUGCGAGAGAGGCUGAAAUCAAACGCCAGCGAAGGCAGGACCCGGAAAAGCGUGCUAGGGAGGCUGAAGCCAGACGCCAGCGAAUGCAGGACCCGGAACGGCGCGCUAGGGAGGCUGAAGCCAGACGCCAGCAAAGGCAGGACCCGGAACGGCGCGCAAGGGAGGCUGAAGCCAAACGCCAGCGAAUGCAGGACCCGGAACGGCGCGCUAGGCAGGCUGAAGCCAGACGCCAGCAAAGGCAGGACCCGGAACGGCGCGCUAGGGAGGCUGAAGCCAAACGCCAGCGAAGGCAGGACCCGGAACGGCGCGCUAGGGAGGCUGAAGCCAAACGCCAGCAAAGGCAACGAGACCGUGAUUUACGGGAAAGAGGGAUAAAAUUGAUGCGUCAGGAACGUGAACAACAUCCGGAUCUCAGAGUGCGAGAAGCCGAAACCAGGUACCAACGCUGGCAAGGAUUUCUAGAAAUUCGAGCCCAGGAAGCAGAAGCCAAACUUGGGCAACGAGCAGAGGCAGAACGACAAGCUCAGGAGGGGUUGAGCCUGCAUGCUGGAGACACCUGCACGGGAACCAAGCUGACGAGCACAAUCCCAGAGAGGGAACCACGGCAAGGCUAUCACAAUAAAUAUGUUGGCGAGGAUGAUCCCCUGCCUCAACAAGCCCAUCAAUCUUGUCAGACGGAACACCACAUCACUCUAGUGUGGUGCGCAAGACCAAAUGUGCCAACUUGCAGCACUGCAGUCCAGGUGGAAUCGUGGGAACAGCAGCGUUGAUGGAAGUGCACGAGAAGAUGAAAGACAGUAUGAAGCAGCUUCACAAGGCGGUAGCCACUGUCCUGGAGUGACCCUGAGCAAGCUUGCUCAUGACUGAACCAUCAAAGAUGCUUUGAUGAAACAUCCUAAGGGAUCGGGUCUCCUCUAUCAGCAUUUGACUGCCGUGCUGCUGCUGCGAGACUUAUGACUCAAGAAGCCCAUGUCGUAAGCAGUGUUAAACCACGUGGACUGGCAUGCUCAAGGACCACAAGCCAUUCGACAGUUUUAGUUGGGCGUCCACAGCCGCUCUGCCUACGCAGGAAACCCACGGAAGCAACAAUUUGCAUGCACAGUCCUGUGUGUGCGUCCGCUGCGAGCUUUGUAGGACGUUCUCACAGCUCUUGCUGAAGAUUUGACUCUGGCUUGGUUUGACUUCGUGGCGACUGAUAUUGGCCGCACAGUUUCAGAAGCUAGAACUAUAUGGCGGCGCUGAGUAGCUCGCUACCGGCUCCUGCGCAUGCAAGUCAGCAGUCCCCUUCUAAACUUUUGCGUCUGGCAAACUGUUGCCAUUUCGUGUGCGCGUGCUUUGCUACGUACACAUGACCUCGCGCGCUGCGUACAUUUGACGUUGCGGACACCCAACUAAAACUGUAUUCUCAUUUGCUAUUAAAGGCUAAAAUACCUGAUUACAUUAAGCUUGUGCCUGCUUAUUAAAGAAGCAACAUCUACAAGAGCUUCCAUGAAAUUUAUUCUGCAGUCAUCGGGUCAGCACUUUCGUGACACACUAAGCGUCGCCACCUGAAAAUCCGGGUAUGUGUGCUCUGUUUAUAGCCAAGCUGUGAGAAGUGCUGGGCACUAGUGAAGAUACAUGUAUCAUAGAUACUACCUUUGAUACUCGUUGGGUAUCUUGUAUGUGUAUCAUGAUACGUCUGGUAAGAUGUGUAUCAGUAUUUGUAUUUCUGAUACAUGAAAGAAUGUAUUGUGUAUCUUAAGAUACAGAUAUCACAACAUCACUGUGCGAAACUAGAAACAUUGGCUGAAAUACACUUCUCAAGCUGAUACUACUGCCACUAAGCCACCUGGAUCACACUAAACGUAGCAACAUUCCUUUAUCGUUCCGCCAAAGCACUCAACCAAGAACAGGCAGUGGAGCAGCCACGUGGUGGCACUUACAUCUUGUCGACAGAAACAAACAUGUACAGGAAAGAAAACGACUGGAAGGAUAAACUUUGCCAUAAAUUAAGACACUAGUUCGCUUGAGGUGUGAAAAAAUUUGAGUCCCCUGCAUUUGUCAUAUAAUGGGGAAAAAAAAGGAAAAAUGGUGGAAAUGUGAGCCAAGCUGUAGUUUGUGCUAUGUCUAAUUUUCUUGUUCUACAUCUGAAGGUCCCAACAAGAUUAUAUUCUGGCCAGGAGAACUUGCAUGGGUUAUUAUCCUUUAAAACAUAUAUAUAUAUUUCAGUUAGCGUGAAAACUAUUCCUGUAAUUUUGGAAAGUUCCUAUAAUUUGCAGUUCGUGGAUGGUGGCCUGAGAAAUAAA